AGAGUUUGAUCCUGGCUCAGAUUGAACGCUGGCGGUAUGCCUAACACAUGCAAGUCGAACGAGGUAGCAAUACCUAGUGGCGGACGGGUGAGGAAUACGUAGGGAUCUGCCUUUAAGUGGGGGAUAACCCGGGGAAACCCGGAUUAAUACCGCAUGAUCUCGCAAGAGCAAAGAGGGGGACCGCAAGGCCUCUCGCUUUUAGAGGAACCUACGUCGGAUUAGCUAGUUGGUGAGGUAAUGGCUCACCAAGGCGACGAUCCGUAACUGGUCUGAGAGGAUGAUCAGUCACACCGGAACUGAGACACGGUCCGGACUCCUACGGGAGGCAGCAGUGGGGAAUAUUGGACAAUGGGCGAAAGCCUGAUCCAGCAAUACCGCGUGUGUGAAGAAGGCCUUCGGGUUGUAAAGCACUUUAAGUUGGGAAGAAAAAGCUUCACCUAAUACGUGGAGCCUUGACGGUACCGACAGAAUAAGCACCGGCUAACUCUGUGCCAGCAGCCGCGGUAAUACAGAGGGUGCUAGCGUUAAUCGGAUUUACUGGGCGUAAAGCGUGCGUAGGCGGUUUGAUAAGUCGAUUGUGAAAGCCCCGGGCUCAACCUGGGAAUUGCGGUCGAUACUGUCAGACUCGAAAACGGUAGAGGGAGGCGGAACUCCAGGUGUAGCGGUGAAAUGCGUAGAUAUCUGGAAGAACACCGAUGGCGAAGGCAACCUCCUGGGCCUGUUUUGACGCUGAGGCACGAAAGCGUGGGUAGCAAACAGGAUUAGAUACCCUGGUAGUCCACGCCGUAAACGAUGAGAAC
rnacentral:rRNA from 1 species